CCUACGGGAGGCAGCAGUGGGGAAUUUUGGACAAUGGACGAAAGUCUGAUCCAGCCAUGCCGCGUGCGGGAAGAAGGCCUUCGGGUUGUAAACCGCUUUUGUCAGGGAAGAAAUCCUUUGAGUUAAUACCUCGGGGGGAUGACGGUACCUGAAGAAUAAGCACCGGCUAACUACGUGCCAGCAGCCGCGGUAAUACGUAGGGUGCAAGCGUUAAUCGGAAUUACUGGGCGUAAAGCGUGCGCAGGCGGUUAUAUAAGACAGAGGUGAAAUCCCCGGGCUCAACCUGGGAACUGCCUUUGUGACUGUAUAGCUUGAGUGCGGCAGAGGGGGAUGGAAUUCCGCGUGUAGCAGUGAAAUGCGUAGAUAUGCGGAGGAACACCGAUGGCGAAGGCAAUCCCCUGGGCCUGCACUGACGCUCAUGCACGAAAGCGUGGGGAGCAAACAGGAUUAGAUACCCUGGUAGUCCACGCCCUAAACGAUGUCAACUGGUUGUUGGGAAGGUUCCUUCUCAGUAACGUAGCUAACGCGUGAAGUUGACCGCCUGGGGAGUACGGCCGCAAGGUUGAAACUCAAAUGAAUUGACGG
rnacentral:rRNA from 1 species